rnacentral:rRNA from 1 species
GAUGAACGCUGGCGGCGUGCCUAAUACAUGCAAGUCGAACGAGGUGCUUUUGUAGCAAUACGAGAGUAUCCUAGUGGCGAACGGGUGAGUAACGCGUGGAUGACCUGCCCCAAAGUGUGGGAUAACAGUCCGAAAGGAUUGUUAAUACCUCAUGUGGUUAUCGGUUUUAGAAAGCGAUAACUAAAGCAGCAAUGCGCUUUGGGAGGGAUCUGCGUCCCAUCAGCUAGUUGGUGAGGUAACGGCUCACCAAGGCGACGACGGGUAGGGGACCUGAGAGGGUGGCCCCCCACAAUGGAACUGAAACAACGGUCCAUACACCUACGGGUGGCAGCAGUAGGGAAUAUUGCUCAAUGGGCGAAAGCCUGAAGCAGCAACGCCGCGUGUGCGAUGAAGGCCUU